rnacentral:rRNA from 1 species
UUAAAUUGAAGAGUUUGAUCAUGGCUCAGAUUGAACGCUGGCGGCAGGCCUAACACAUGCAAGUCGAAAGCUGACAGGUGG